GAUGAACGCUGGCGGCGUGCCUAACACAUGCAAGUCGAGCGAGAUAAAUGUGAGUGGAGACUUCGGUCAAAGCAAUCAUUUUGAAAGCGGCGGACGGGUGAGUAACGCGUGAGCAAUCUGCCCCAUACAAAGGGAUACCCACUGGAAACGGUGAUUAAUACCUUAUAAGACCACGAAGUCGCCUGGCUUAGUGGCCAAAGAUUUAUCGGUAUGGGAUGAGCUCGCGUCUGAUUAGCUAGUUGGUGAGGUAAUGGCUCACCAAGGCGACGAUCAGUAGCCGGCCUGAGAGGGUGAACGGCCACACUGGAACUGAGACACGGUCCAGACUCCUACGGGAGGCAGCAGUGGGGAAUAUUGCACAAUGGGCGCAAGCCUGAUGCAGCAACGCCGCGUGAAUGAUGAAGGCCUUCGGGUCGUAAAGUUCUGUCCUAAGGGAAGAAUACAGUGACGGUACCUUAGGAGGAAGCCCCGGCUAACUACGUGCCAGCCGCCGCCGUAA
rnacentral:rRNA from 1 species